rnacentral:rRNA from 1 species
AGUGAACGCUGGCGGCGUGCCUAAUACAUGCAAGUCGAACGGUAACAGGAAGUAGCUUGCUACUUUGCUGAUUAGUGGCGCACGGGUGAGUAAUGCAUAGGUCAUGUGCCCCAUAGUCUGGGAUAGCCACUGGAAACGGUGAUUAAUACUGGAUACUCCCGAGAGGGGAAAGUUUUUCGCUAUGGGAUCAGCCUAUGUCCUAUCAGCUUGUUGGUGAGGUAAUGGCUCACCAAGGCUAUGACGGGUAUCCGGCCUGAGAGGGUGAACGGACACACUGGAACUGAGACACGGUCCGAACUCCAACGGAAGGCAGCAGAAGGGAUAAUGCCUCAAUGGGGAAACCCUGAAGCAGCAACGCCGCGUGGAGGAUGAAGGUCUUCGGAUUGUAAACUCCUUUUCUAAGAGAAGAUUAUGACGGUAUCUUAGGAAUAAGCACCGGCUAACUCCGUG